AUUGAACGCUGGCGGAAUGCUUUACACAUGCAAGUCGAACGGCAGCACGGACUUCGGUCUGGUGGCGAGUGGCGAACGGGUGAGUAAUGUAUCGGAACGUGCCCAGUCGUGGGGGAUAACGUAGUGAAAAUUACGCUAAUACCGCAUACGAUCUAUGGAUGAAAGCGGGGGAUCGCAAGACCUCGCGCGAUUGGAGCGGCCGAUAUCAGAUUAGGUAGUUGGUGGGGUAAAGGCCCACCAAGCCAACGAUCUGUAGCUGAUCUGAGAGGACGGCCAGCCCAACUGGAACUGAGACACGGUCCAGACUCCGACGGGAAGCAGCAGUGGGGAAUUUUGGACAAGGGGCGAAAGCCUGAUCCAGCCAUUCCGCGUGCAGGAUGAAGGCCCUCGGGUUGUAAACUGCUUUUGUACAGAACGAAAAGGUUUCUACUAAUACUAGGAGCUCAUGACGGUACUGUAAGAAUAAGCACCGGCUAACUACGUGCCAGCCGCCGCAGUAA
rnacentral:rRNA from 1 species